rnacentral:misc_RNA from 1 species
AACCAUAGAAACCUGCGGAGUACCUGCGGCAGGAUCAUUACAGAGUUGCAAAACUCCCACAAACCAUCGCGAAUCUUACCCGUACGGUUGCCUCGGCGCUGGCGGUCCGGAAGGCCCUCGGGCCCCCGGACCCUCGGGUCCCCCGCUCGCGGGGGGCUGCCCGCCGGAGUGCCGAAACCAAACUCUUGAUAUUUUAUGUCUCUCUGAGUAAACUUUUAAAUAAGUCAAAACUUUUAACAA